GGGGAAACAUAGCGUGAGAAUCUAGCGAGCCAACCUCCCACCCGUGUUUACUGUACCUUAGUUGCUUCGGCGGGCCCGCCAUUCAUGGCCGCCGGGGGCUCUCAGCCCCGGGCCCGCGCCCGCCGGAGACACCACGAACUCUGUCUGAUCUAGUGAAGUCUGAGUUGAUUGUAUCGCAAUCAGUUAAAACUUUCAACAAUGGAUCUCUUGGUUCCGGCAUCGAUGAAGAACGCAGCGAAAUGCGAUAACUAGUGUGAAUUGCAGAAUUCCGUGAAUCAUCGAGUCUUUGAACGCACAUUGCGCCCCCUGGUAUUCCGGGGGGCAUGCCUGUCCGAGCGUCAUUGCUGCCCAUCAAGCACGGCUUGUGUGUUGGGUCGUCGUCCCCUCUCCGGGGGGGACGGGCCCCAAAGGCAGCGGCGGCACCGCGUCCGAUCCUCGAGCGUAUGGGGCUUUGUCACCCGCUCUGUAGGCCCGGCCGGCGCUUGCCGAACGCAAAUCAAUCUUUUCCAGGUUGACCUCGGAUCAGGUAGGGAUACCCGCUGAACUUAAGCAUAUCAAUAAGCCGGGAGGAAAAAAUAUUCCCAACUAAUCUU
rnacentral:misc_RNA from 1 species